rnacentral:rRNA from 1 species
UACGAAGGGGGCUAGCGUUGUUCGGAAUUACUGGGCGUAAAGCGCACGUAGGCGGACUCUUAAGUCGGUGGUGAAAUCCUGGAGCUCAACUCCAGAACUGCCUUCGAUACUGAGAGUCUCGAGUCCGGGAGAGGUGAGUGGAACUGCGAGUGUAGAGGUGAAAUUCGUAGAUAUUCGCAAGAACACCAGUGGCGAAGGCGGCUCACUGGCCCGGUACUGACGCUGAGGUGCGAAAGCGUGGGGAGCAAACAGG